CCUACGGGGGGCAGCAGUGGGGAAUAUUGCACAAUGGGGGAAACCCUGAUGCAGCGACGCCGCGUGAGUGAAGAAGUAAUUCGUUAUGUAAAGCUCUAUCAGCAGGGAAGAAAAUGACGGUACCUGAGUAAGAAGCCCCGGCUAACUACGUGCCAGCAUCCGCGGUAAUCCGUAGGGGGCAAGCGUUAUCCGGAUUUACUGGGUGUAAAGGGAGCGUAGACGGCAGUGCAAGUCUGGAGUGAAGGGCGGGGGCUCAACCCCCGGACUGCUAUGGAAACUGUACGGCUGGAGUGCAGGAGAGGUAAGUGGAAUUCGUAGUGUAGCGGUGAAAUGCGUAGAUAUUAGGAGGAACACCAGUGGCGAAGGCGGCAUACUGGACUGUAACUGACGUUGAGGCUCGAAAGCGUGGGGAGCGAACAGGAUUAGAUACCCUUGUAGUC
rnacentral:rRNA from 1 species